AGGCGUGGCUUCCGGAGCUAACGCGUUAAGUAGACCGCCUGGGGAGUACGGCCGCAAGGUUAAAACUCAAAUGAAUUGACGGGGGCCCGCACAAGCGGUGGAGCAUGUGGUUUAAUUCGAUGCAACGCGAAGAACCUUACCUGGUCUUGACAUCCACAGAAGUUUGCAGAGAUGCGAAUGUGCCUUCGGGAACUGUGAGACAGGUGCUGCAUGGCUGUCGUCAGCUCGUGUUGUGAAAUGUUGGGUUAAGUCCCGCAACGAGCGCAACCCUUAUCCUUUGUUGCCAGCGGUUAGGCCGGGAACUCAAAGGAGACUGCCAGUGAUAAACUGGAGGAAGGUGGGGAUGACGUCAAGUCAUCAUGGCCCUUACGACCAGGGCUACACACGUGCUACAAUGGCGCAUACAAAGAGAAGCGACCUCGCGAGAGCAAGCGGACCUCAUAAAGUGCGUCGUAGUCCGGAUUGGAGUCUGCAACUCGACUCCAUGAAGUCGGAAUCGCUAGUAAUCGUGGAUCAGAAUGCCACGGUGAAUACGUUCCCGGGCCUUGUACACACCGCCCGUCACACCAUGGGAGUGGGUUGCAAAAGAAGUAGGUAGCUUAACCUUCGGGAGGGCGCUUACCACUUUGUGAUUCAUGACUGGGGUGAAGUCGUAACAAGGUAACCGUAGGGGAACCUGCGGUUGGAUCACCUCCUUA
rnacentral:rRNA from 1 species